AUCCAAACCGCUGAAGCCCAGGCGGCCAAAGCAGAGUGUGUGAACAUAACCUCCACACCACCCGGCCAGCCCCAAGCUGACUUUUUACAGAACAUAAACUCCACAAGGGCAGAGGUUUCCGUCUGCUUCUUUUGACUGAUGUACCCCAGCACCUAGAACACUGCCGGGCACAUAUCAAGUCCUCAGUAAAUGUAGGAAAACGAGCAAUCCUGUGGGAAGUCAGGGAGGAGGCUGUCUCAAGAAAGAGAAAGAAUUUAACAAUGCCAACACUUCCAAAUGCUGCCGAGAGGUCCAGGUGAGAGCAGAGAUUAGAUGGCAGAGCACGGCUUGAAGAGAGAAGCAUCAGUAGUCUGUCUGACUGAAAACAGAUUAUGAAGGUUUACCAGAUGAAUAAAUGGUACUUAGUGUAGGGAAAAAAAGCG
rnacentral:lncRNA from 1 species